AGGAGAGGAGACCAUCCUAGGCUCGGCCAGGGACACAGUGGGGGAGAAAACACGCACACGCAGAGCGGAGAAAAGGCUCCUCUGUGCACCGGAGCCCCGCACAUCUCUGACGCGGGAGGAGAGCGCCGACCUCCCGCCGGAGCCUCCCGAUCACGCACGGAUACAAACGCGCAAUUGACCGCGGAGCUCUCCUCCUCCUCCUCCUCCUCCUCCACAGCCGGGAGGACACGCAGCCUCGGGGCAGAUGCGGUGGGAUUUAUCGACCCGAUCCACGCGCACCUGCACAUCUGGAGCCUGGAGGACGCUGCACCGACCUGACCUGCUCCACAUGUGGAUGUUUUUUUCCCACCGCGGACGCAGGAUGCAGCUGAUGAUGGAAACAGGAAGCUUCAGACUUAACCUUGUGCUGCUGAAUCAACCAGCGGAGCGUGUUCCUGUCUUUGGUUAUCUAGCUGUAUGAGUGUUAAUCCUCCUUCAUAAAGCUAGAUAACCGAAAGUAGGAAUGACCUCCACACCCCCCCAUCUCCUAACGAAGAGAAGAAAGAGAGAAAAUCCCAGAUGGCAACACAAGAGGACAUUGAGUGUGUUCAGAAAAGAAUCAGAGUGAUGCUGGUGCCACCCUCUCUGUGCAGGAUGUGCAGCGUCUUCGUCGGUGUGUUCAUCACAUGGAUUCUCUGCAGCCAAACACAAGGAUUUGUCUCUGUGCAAAUUGGACAACUGCAGGAACGUGUUCUCUCUCUCCUCCAGACUUUAACAAAGUUUGAACCACAAUUCAUUCAUUGAUUUCAUUUUCAUUUUUUGGUGUGAAAAUGAGAUUUGAUAUUGAGUCAUCAGUUAUACUUGAGUGGAAGAUUUUAUUUUCAAAUGCAUGUUGUUUUUUUGAAAAUCCUGUCCGUAAAAUGAUUUGGAAGAAUUUUGAAUGAAAUGUGAUAAAUGUGAUAAAAUAAAUAUUAAAAAGAACACAAA